rnacentral:rRNA from 1 species
GAUGAACGCUAGCGGCAGGCUUAACACAUGCAAGUCGAGGGGUAGAAGUCUUCGGACUUUGAGACCGGCGCACGGGUGCGUAACGCGUAUGCAAUCUACCUUCUACAGAGGGAUAGCCCAGAGAAAUUUGGAUUAAUACCUCAUAGUAUAAUGACCUGGCAUCAGGAUGUUAUUAAAGUCACAACGGUAAAAGAUGAGCA